rnacentral:snRNA from 1 species
UAUGUGUAAUAAGCUAAAAGA